rnacentral:rRNA from 1 species
CGUGAGAAUUUGCCUUUAGGAGGGGGACAACAACUAGAAAUGGUUGCUAAUACCCCAUAUGCUUUCGAGUGAAAUGGAAUUUUCCGCCUAGAGAGAAGCUUGCGGCUGAUUAGCUUGUUGGUGAGGUAAUGGCUUACCAAGGCGACGAUCAGUAUCUGGUUUGAGAGGAUGAUCAGACACACUGGAACUGAGACACGGUCCAGACUCCUACGGGAGGCAGCAGUGGGGAAUUUUCCGCAAUGGGCGAAAGCCUGACGGAGCAAUCUCGCGUGAGGGAUGACGGCCUAUGGGUUGUAAACCUCUUUUUUCAGGGAGGAAAAAAAUGACGUGUACCUGAAGAAUAAGCAUCGGCUAACUCCGUGCCAGCAGCCGCGGUAAGACGGAGGAUGCAAGUGUUAUCCGGAAUCACUGGGCGUAAAGCGUCUGUAGGUGGUUUAGUAAGUCAACUGUUAAAUCUUGAAGCUCAACUUCAAAAUCGCAGUCGAAACUAUUAGACUAGAGUAUAGUAGGGGUAAAGGGAAUUUCCAGUGGAGCGGUGAAAUGCGUAGAGAUUGGAAAGAACACCGAUGGCGAAGGCACUUUACUGGGCUAUUACUGACACUCAGAGACGAAAGCUAGGGUAGCAAAUGGGAUA